UGGUUUAAGCGGACUAGGUGGU
rnacentral:siRNA from 1 species